rnacentral:rRNA from 1 species
CGGGACGGGUGAGUAAUGUCUGGGAAACGUGCCUGAUGGAGGGGGAUAACUACUGGAAACGGUAGCUAAUACCGCAUAACGUCGCAAGACCAAAGUGGGGGACCGUUCGGGCCUCUUGCCAUCGGAUGUGCCCAGAUGGGAUUAGCUAGUAGGUGGGGUAACGGCUCACCUAGGCGACGAUCCCUAGCUGGUCUGAGAGGAUGACCAGCCACACUGGAACUGAGACACGGUCCAG